rnacentral:rRNA from 1 species
UGGCGGACGGGUGAGUAAUGUCUGGGAAACUGCCCGAUGGAGGGGGAUAACUACUGGAAACGGUAGCUAAUACCGCAUAACGUCGCAAGACCAAAGAGGGGGACCUUCGGGCCUCUUGCCAUCAGAUGAACCCAUAUGGGAUUAGCUUGUAGGUAAGGUAACGGCUUACCUAGGCGACGAUCCCUAGCUGGUCUGAGAGGAUGACCAGCCACACUGGAACUGAGACACGGUCCAG